CUGCUGCUGCUUAUUCUUUAUUUUACAUUCAUAAGGAUAUUUAUAUAUAUAUAUAGAGUAUAUAACAAAGAAAAAAUAGGUUUGCAGAUUGUCUUAUAGUUCCAGCCGCUUAGUCUA